rnacentral:rRNA from 1 species
GAUGAACGCUGGCGGCGUGCCUAAUACAUGCAAGUCGAGCGAACAGACGAGGAGCUUGCUCCUCUGACGUUAGCGGCGGACGGGUGAGUAACACGUGGAUAACCUACCUAUAAGACUGGGGUAACUUCGGGAAACCGGAGCUAAUACCGGAUAAUAUAUUGAACCGCAUGGUUCAAUAGUGAAAGACGGUUUUGCUGUCACUUAUAGAUGGAUCCGCGCCGCAUUAGCUAGUUGGUAAGGUAACGGCUUACCAAGGCAACGAUGCGUAGCCGACCUGAGAGGGUGAUCGGCCACACUGGAACUGAGACACGGUCCAGACUCCUACGGGAGCAAGCAGUAGGGAAUCUUCCGCAUGGGGCGAAUGCCUGACGGAGCAACGCCGCUUGAGUGAUGAAGGUCUUCGGAUCUUAAAACUCUGUUAUAAGGGAAGAACAAAUGUGUAAGUAACUAUGCACGUCUUGACGGUACCUAAUCAGAAAGCCACGGCUAACUACGUG